UAUUGCCAUGUACGUAUUUGUAAGAUAACAGUUGUGUUUUGGGGCAUUGAAGGGAAAAGUCUGGACAUUCACGUCCCGUGUCCUGACCCAGGAGGGACACUGGGUUGGCAGUAGGCCUUCUGCAGUGAGCUGCCUGAACUCUCCUUGCUUUGGCCAUGGGUGCAGCACAUGUGGUGGGAAGAAGCAUUCUGACUGAAGCCUUGCCAUAAACCCUGAUGCUGAAUGCUCAAUGUGCUGCCUUUGGUAGUUGCAAUCAUGGCUCAGUUGACUCUCCAGAGACAAGACAUCUGUAUCUGUGCUGCUUUAAUGGCAAGCCUAGAAUUUUCUCUAGUUCUCCUCCCCACCUGCAUUUCUUUGCUUGGAAAGACAGAGUAAAAGGCAACACAUAAACAUAACAUACCCAUUAGAGAAUUUAGGUGUCAUGGUUUGCAUGCUCUGGGAACAAAUAUAACAGUACAGGUCUGUCUGCUAUGCUUGCCAAAGAACAUUAAAAUCCUAAUGUUAUAAUGGUCUGCACCCCUGAGCAGUCUCCCACAUCUAGGCUCUGGUGUUUGCUGCACCUCUGGGUGGUCCCCUCUACCUUCUCAUAUCUAAAAGGUAGCAGGUGUGAACUACUAC